GUGCAUUCAGAAAUGUUCUAGCUCUAGCCCUUGCUAUAUGGCGACACUUGGCUAGAGCUAGAGCCAGAGUAUUUUUGAAUGCAAUUUUAAUCUCAUAGAAAUUCAAAAAUUUGAAUUUCCCGCUUGAAAUUUAAAAUUUUGCCAUCUAUGAGAAAUAU